rfam:Myotis brandtii contig183640, whole genome shotgun sequence.
GGCAGUUCUCGGGUGAUGCACCUCGGAAUCGGGCUCCCUCCUCUCUGGUUCCAGGUCACCCGAGAACUACC